rnacentral:rRNA from 1 species
CUACGGGGCGCAUCAGUGAGGAAUAUUGCACAAUGGGGGGAACCCUGAUGCAGCAACGCCGCGUGGAGGAUGACGCAUUUCGGUGUGUAAACUCCUUUUAUAUGUCAAGAAAAUGACGGUAGCAUAUGAAUAAGCGCCGGCUAACUCCGUGCCAGCAGCCGCGGUAAUACGGAGGGCGCAAGCGUUACUCGGAAUCACUGGGCGUAAAGGACGCGUAGGCGGGUUGAAAAGUCAGGUGUGAAAGCCUACAGCUUAACUGUAGAACUGCACUUGAAACUCUCAAUCUAGAGUAUGGGAGGGGCAGAUGGAAUUAGUGGUGUAGGGGUAAAAUCCGUAGAUAUCACUAGGAAUACCUAAAGCGAAGGCGAUCUGCUGGAACAUUACUGACGCUAAGGCGUGAAAGCGUGGGGAGCAAACAGGAUUAGAUACCCUAGUAGUC